rnacentral:rRNA from 1 species
UGCCAGCCGCCGCGGUAAUACGGAAGGUGCAAGCGUUAAUCGGAAUUACUGGGCGUAAAGCGCGCGCAGGUGGUUUGUUAAGUUGGAUGUGAAAGCCCUGGGCCCAACCUAGGAACUGCAUCCAAAACUGACUGACUAGAGUACGAUAGAGGGAGGUAGAAUUCACAGUGUAGCGGUGGAAUGCGUAGAUAUUGUGAAGAAUACCAAUGGCGAAGGCAGCCUCCUGGAUCUGUACUGACACUGAGGUGCGAAAGCGUGGGUAGCGAACAGGAUUAGAUU